UGUUUGAGUAGCAUACCCUAAUUCCAAAUUGAAGUCAUACAUUAACCAAGACAAGAAAGAGCCUUGAAUGAAAAUCAACUCUGGGAAUCAGGACGAGGACUAGCUUGAAUAGAAUUCUAGUUUUCUCGCUCCAUUUCCGCCCAUCACUACGGUGAGAAUGCCCCAUCUCCAAAUUUCCCAGUUUCGUGUGCAAAUGGCCGUGACUGGUGAAUUUCUGUCGAAUCCUCUCACUCGAAACUGUUUGCUCCAUCUUUGAAGUUUGUUUCAUUGAACUUGCGUGCUUUGAAGUCCCGACUUAAUAUGACGUAAAACAACAUAGCAUUACGAAGUAGCACGAAAAACGCAUCCCCC